CUUGACAUCCAGCGAACUUGGCAGAGAUGCCUUGGUGCCUUCGGGAACGCUGAGACAGGUGCUGCAUGGCUGUCGUCAGCUCGUGUUGUGAAAUGUUGGGUUAAGUCCGCAACGAGCGCAACCCCUUAUCCUUUGUUGCCAGCGAUUCGGUCGGGAACUCAAAGGAGACUGCCGGUGAUAAACCGGAGGAAGGUGGGGAUGACGUCAAGUCAUCAUGGCCCUUACGAGUAGGGCUACACACGUGCUACAAUGGCGCAUACAAAGAGAAGCGACCUCGCGAGAGCAAGCGGACCUCAUAAAGUGCGUCGUAGUCCGGAUCGGAGUCUGCAACUCGACUCCGUGAAGUCGGAAUCGCUAGUAAUCGUGGAUCAGAAUGCCACGGUGAAUACGUUCCCGGGCCUUGUACACACCGCCCGUCACACCAUGGGAGUGGGUUGCAAAAGAAGUAGGUAGCUUAACCUUCGGGAGGGCGCUUACCACUUUGUGAUUCAUGACUGGGGUGAAGUCGUAACAAGGUAGGCGUAGACGU
rnacentral:rRNA from 1 species